CCUAUAUAUUGAGAUGACACCUAAUUAUUUUCGAUUGCAGUAUGGUCUUUCAUUCUAUUAGGAAAUUCCCCUUAUUACGGAGAAUAUUUUGAUAGGGAAGGUCAGCAAUAUUCAUUCAAUUACAUUACAAUUUUUUUUUUUUUUAAUAUUCAUUCAAUUACAUUCCUUUUUUUUUAAUUUUUUUUUUAAGUCCAUAGUGUCACUAAUAUAUUUUUAGGAAAUUUACAAAAUACACCCUUCGGAUAGAGUGUAUUUAUGCUUUACAUACCACAUUUUACAUCAUUGUAAACUUUUGCUAUAAAAUUUACAAAUUUACCAUUAAAACUAGACCAAAAUACCAAUAUUCAAAAACUAUAAAAUUUACAAAUUUCUCUAUAAUUUAUUGAAAAAUUAAAAAAAUUCUUUCAUGUCAAAGGAGGGAAUACUGAAGGAAGCGAACAAGUAUCUACAAGAUAAGAUGGAUGAGCAAUAUGGGAUUGAUAGCAUGGCACAAAUGCUUAGUAACACUGAAUACCCACUAAUGACUAACAAUCAGUUCCCUCUAACCAUACAAAAUGAAAUAUAUCAGUUCUAAUAUUUGCUCUAUUAAUUUAUGAGUGUAUGAGUGUUGUAAUAAAAGAAUAUUUGGGUGUCAUAUAUAUUGAGAUGUUGAGAGUGUUGGAAUAAUUUCAAGUAUGGGCUUCA